AACGAACGCUGGCGGCAUGCCUAACACAUGCAAGUCGAACGAGACCUUCGGGACUAGUGGCGCACGGGUGCGUAACGCGUGGGAACCUGCCCUUAGGCUCGGAAUAACUCCCCGAAAGGGGUGCUAAUACCGGAUAACGUCUUCGGACCAAAGAUUUAUCGCCCUUGGAUGGGCACGCGUUGGUUUAGCUAGUUGGUAGGGUAAAAGCCUACCAAGGCGACGAUCCAUAGCUGGUCUGAGAGGAUGAUCAGCCACACUGGGACUGAGACACGGCCCAGAGUCCUACGGAAGGCAGCAGUGGGGAAUAUUGGACAAUGGGCGAAAGCCGGAUCCAGCAAUGCCGCGUGAGUGAUGAAGGCCUUAGAGUUGUAAAGCGCUUUUACCCGGGAUGAUAAUGACAGUACCGGGAGAAUAAGCUCCGGCUAACUCCGUG
rnacentral:rRNA from 1 species